rnacentral:rRNA from 1 species
GACGAACGCUGGCGGCGUGCUUAACACAUGCAAGUCGAACGGUAAGGCUCCAGCUUGCUGGGGUACACGAGUGGCGAACGGGUGAGUAACACGUGGGUGACCUGCCCUGCACUUCGGGAUAAGCCUGGGAAACUGGGUCUAAUACCGGAUAGGACCGCACCGUGAGGGUGUGGUGGAAAGUUUUUUCGGUGUGGGAUGGGCCCGCGGCCUAUCAGCUUGUUGGUGGGGUAAUGGCCUACCAAGGCGGCGACGGGUAGCCGGCCUGAGAGGGUGGACGACCACAUUGGGACUGAGACACGGCCCAGACUCCUACGGGAGGCAGCAGUGGGGAAUAUUGCACAAUGGGCGGAAGCCUGAUGCAGCGACGCCGCGUGGGGGAUGACGGCCUUCGGGUUGUAAACUCCUUUCACCAUCGACGAAGGGUUUCUGACGGUAGGUGGAGAAGAAGCACCGGCUAACUACGUG